rnacentral:misc_RNA from 1 species
UCUUGGUUUCCCAAGCAGUCCCGCUAGAGUGCCUUUCCGAAGAAAGUAGCAACUAACGGCAAGGGUUGCGCUCGUUAAAGGACUUAACCCAACAUCUCACGACACGAGCUGACGACAGCCAUGCAGCACCUGUUCAAGUGUCUUGGUUUCCCAAGAAAACCAGAUUUCGCCGGCGGUCACUUGUAUGUCAAGCCUAGGUAAGGUUCCUCGCGUAGUGUCGAAUUAAACCACAUGUUCCACCGCUUGUGCGGGCCCCCGUCAAUUUCUUUAAGUUUUAAUCUUGCGAUCGUAAUCCUCAGGUGAAUCACUUAACGCGUUAGCUUCGAUACGCCAAUGGAAACCCAUCAGCACAUCUAGUGAUCAUCGUUUACAGCGUGGACUAC